rnacentral:rRNA from 1 species
CGUAGGGUGCAAGCGUUAAUCGGAAUUACUGGGCGUAAAGCGUGCGCAGGCGGUUAUGUAAGACAGUUGUGAAAUCCCCGGGCUCAACCUGGGAACCGCAUCUGUGACUGCAUAGCUAGAGUACGGUAGAGGGGGAUGGAAUUCCGCGUGUAGCAGUGAAAUGCGUAGAUAUGCGGAGGAACACCGAUGGCGAAGGCAAUCCCCUGGACCUGUACUGACGCUCAUGCACGAAAGCGUGGGGAGCAAACAGGAUUAGAUACCCUGGUAGUCCACGCCCUAAACGAUGUCAACUGGUUGUUGGGUCUUCACUGACUCAGUAACGAAGCUAACGCGUGAAGUUGACCGCCUGGGGAGUACGGCCGCAAGGUUG